rnacentral:miRNA from 1 species
GGCGACAUAGGCAUGGUUUGAGUUUG